GGUUGUUGGGAACAGGCAGUCUGUCAGAAACAGUCGGCUAUGGAUCACCAAAGAAAUGGGGGUGAAUGAGGCUUCUGCUGAGCACCUGGCAGAUUAGAUCCGAUCCCUGGUUGUGCAAGAAAAGGAACCUAUAUAGCAAAGCUGGCCUGGCUUUGGGAUGUUGGUAAGGAAGCAAAUACAGCAGUUUGAGUCAGGACAGAGCAGGAAUUACAGCCACGGGUGGUGCAAGUUCAGUAAAGGACCAGUGAAAGCUGCUGACUUGGGAAGGGCCAGCUCUAAAGGCACACAAAGGUACUUGAGCUAAUUUCUGCUGUCUGGGCAAAUCACCCUCAUGGGUUGGCAGGUGGAAGAUGGACAUCUCAGAGACAAUCAGCCCUCCCAGAGGAACGAGCAGAGGCUGAAGCUUCAA